UGUGGCCUAAUGGCGCUUGCGGCGUUUCCUGGUGGUGUUAACACGCUUGCGUGCACGACACUAUCAAGGAAACCUCGCUCCCGCCGUUGGUUUUGGAUGUCGCUCACGAUAAAGUCUCUUGGCCCUUUUGGUUGCCUUGACCCGCCCUAAAGCAGCUCUCCGAAUUUGAGAACACCCGGAACAGGUGKUGCCUCUACCUCUCCACAGUUACGUGGUAGGAUACGCAACAUUCUGCGCCGAUCCUCAAUCAAGUAGGACGAGCUGGCUCCCUCAAUAACGACAACCAGCUUGGUCGUUGCCUCAGCCUGGCUGCUUCUGUGGACGGGCGGGCAAAGAUCGAGUUGGACGUCAAGAGGACGUGCUACCUGGUUGAUCCUGCCAGUAGUCAU
rnacentral:misc_RNA from 1 species